UGUGUGACUGCAAUUAUUGCAAUCCAUUGCUACUGUUAUUUCAGUUAGUUUGUGCAGUUCAGUUUCACAAUUCACUAUCCUGUUUAGAAGUGUCCAAAUGGUAGCAUAGCGUUGUUUAUUCAGUGUUAACACACCAGUGUACUUAGCCCCAUCAGUGAAUACCUGUUUUUGCUGAAAUGUGAGUUCCUAAGGCACAGUUAUACUGGUGUCAUCUGGCUGUUCUUCUGAGUAGAUGGCUAGCUGAUGUGGAAGCAGAGAAAAUGUUUACAGAGCACAAUCUCCAUUUACCAGUAGAGCCGGGACAAAAGGGGGGUCCGCACAAUGCUUAGGUGCAGGCCCUCAUUUAGCUUUAUGUUUGAUUUGGGGGGAUGUGUGUACAAGCAGCAUUGCAACAGGUCACCUACCCAGCAUAUUAUCACCCAACUGCCUUGGUAAAAAAGAAAACAAAAAUGCCUUUGUGUAAAUAGUUGUUUUUUUAAAGUGAAGUGUGUACGAUGAUUGUAUUGCAGUAUUAACUGUUGCUGAUAGUUAAUGGAAACUAAAUUAGGUGACCUUGGAAGGUCAGAAUGCAAGUGUGUUUGUGGGUGGGUGGGUGGGUGAGAGAGAGAGAGAGAAUUUGGCAUGCCUGCACCAUCUGUUUUUAGGUAGACGCCUCCUUUCCACAUAUAAUGUGGAGACAGGGGCUUGAUAUGUUUUCUAUAACUAUGAAGGGCUGGGGAAGCAAGUAUAUGCUUAUGUUUAUAUGUGAAAUAACUCCGUGUUCUCACUAUGGAUGUCAGGUAAUUCCAACAGAAGCGGGAGUGGAAAUUGCCAGUUUGCUUUUUUGUCCCCUGUCCAGAACAGAAAUCAAUCCAGCAAUCAAUGUUCGCUUUUGUUGCUGUUUCAGUCCACAAAUGAUAUAUACUUGAUCACUGUUUUUCCCAUUUGCAUAGCAUUUCUUUUACAUUGAACUGAAUAGUGUGAAAUAACAUAAUAAGAUCAGAAUUAAUUAUGUAAAAUUGCACCAGAGCAGACAGCAAAACAAGUAACAGUGGAAUGAAUGAAUGAAUGAAUGAAUCUUUAUUUGCAUCAGCUACCAGCCGUAGCAAUAAAAACAAACAAAAUGCAGUAUAUAGAGGAUAAAGGUAAAAAAAAAAAUCAGUUAUAUAAACAUUUGGGGAGAUUUGGAUCAAUAGUCAAAUAGUGGAUCUUAUUCUAAUUGCCCUGGCUAAGAACCUUGCAACCUUUGCUGUCACUUGCUCCUCUUGGUCUGCUAAGAGAAAGGAGACUGUGGCCCCUAACUGCAGCACUGCAUGUGAUGAACAAGUUCUGAAGGGGACAUCCUGAAAUGUUCCUGUCAAAAGUAAGGAUGUAAGGAGUCAGCCAUUUCCAUCCUGUCUUCAGUUCAUUGAAAUCAAUGCUUUUCCCAUUCUGCUACAUUUCAGCUUUUGAUAAAACCUAUCUUCAUCUCGCUAACCACUAUGGCCAAAACUAAUGUAAUUAAUUAGGUAAUUGAUUAUGUAAUCAAUUUCAGUGGAAGGAAAAGGUCAAAAACAAUUCAGGAAAUAACACAGUUAUUUACAUAAUGUUUGCCGAUUAAGAAAAGAACAAUAGCAAACCUAACUCAUAUUCACAUUUCUGUUACUGACCAACAAACAUGCAACUUGCAGCAAUUUCUGCUUCCACUUCUGUUUCUGGUGGAAUUCUCAGACAACCCUAGUGUAAGGGGCUCACUUGUGUUCUGGCAUGUAUGUCAACAGGAUCUUAUUUCUGUUGUGUUACUAGGGUUGCACUAUCGACCAAGAAACUAUAAUGCCUAAACCAAGUUUCCCAUGCUUAAUUUAAUCCUAAAGAUGCUGAUAUGUAGUGCCUUUUAAAGUUAAAAAGUGUGAAGUCCUUCAAUCCUGAUUUGUAUGGUACUCUAGUCUUUAUUUAAUCUACUCCAUCACAGCAAAAAAUAUUUAUUAUACUUCCUCAUAUUGAACUCAAUGGGACUUGAGUCUGAGAAGGCAUUUGUAACACUGUGCUUUAUCCCCACCCCCACCCCGUGUCUUCUUGUUGGGUUUAUAGUUAUCUCAGGACUUAAAACAGGAAAUACAUCAGAUUUGAAACCAACUUGCUGUAAUAACUAAACCCACAUGAUGCAUGACUCAUACUCUCACCUAUCCAUAAAUGCUGUUAUGACAAGCAACAAUCAAUGCUAUUCCUCUGCACACAUAACUGAUUAUUUUUUAUGUUUCCAUGUAUUGGUACUUUGUGGACAUUGUAUUGCAUUUACAUGUGGAGUGGGACUCCUCUGCAGUGUCCUUAAGUUCAGUGAGCAAUUGUAUCCGAUUGUGAGGAUAAAGAGAUCUAAAGAUGUACUGUUAAAAUGUAUAAAUAUAACAUAUUAAGACUCUGUGUUUUGUUUUUUUACCCUAGUGGAAUUUUUAUCCUGUUACAAUGUACUCCACUUUUCUAUUGUGGCACUUAAGAGGCCAACUUUGUAGGAGUUUUAUUCAUAAGGAAAUUUGUGUUGAUAAAUAAAGAAAUAAUGCCAGAUACAA